rnacentral:rRNA from 1 species
AGCUAAGAAUCUUCCGCAAUGGGCGAAAGCCUGACGGAGCGACGCCGCGUGAACGAAGAAGGCCGUGAGGUUGUAAAGUUCUUUUCGGGAGGGGGAAUUACCGUGGCAGGGAAUGGCCGCGGGAUGACGUGAAUCCCGGAACAAGCCCCGGCUAACUACGUGCCAGCAGCCGCGGUAACACGUAGGGGGCGAGCGUUGUUCGGAAUCAUUGGGCGUAAAGGGCGUGCAGGCGGCACUGCAAGUCCGGCGUGAAAGACCCCGGCCCAACCGGGGGGGUGCGCUGGAAACUGCGGUGCUUGAGUACAGGAGGGGAUGCCGGAAUUCCAGGUGUAGGGGUGAAAUCUGUAGAUAUCUGGAAGAACACCGAUGGCGAAGGCAGGCAUCUGGCCAUGUACUGACGCUGAGACGCGAAGGUGCGGGGAGCAAACAGGUUUAGAUACCCUGGUAGUCCGCACAGUAAACGAUGUGCACCAGGUGGCGGGGGUAGAACCCCCGGUACCGUAGCAAACGCAUUAAGUGCACCGCCUGGGGAGUAUGCUCGCAAGGGUG